rnacentral:rRNA from 1 species
UACAGAGACUGCAAGCGUUAUUCGGAUUCACUGGGCGUAAAGGGUGCGCAGGCGGCCGAGUGUGUGAGGCGUGAAAGCCCGGGGCUUAACCCCGGAAUUGCACCUCAAACUACAUGGCUAGAGCAUUGGAGAGGGUAGCGGAAUUCACGGUGUAGCAGUGAAAUGCGUAGAUAUCGUGAGGAACACCAGAGGCGAAGGCGGCUACCUGGACAAUUGCUGACGCUCAGGCACGAAAGCGUGGGGAGCAAAAGGG